rnacentral:rRNA from 1 species
AGUUUGAUCCUGGCUCAGAACGAACGUUGGCGGCGUGCUUAACACAUGCAAGUCGAACGAGAACGGUUCCUUCGGGGACCAAGUAAAGUGGCGCACGGGUGAGUAACACGUAGAUAACCUGUCCAGGUGUUCGGGAUAGCCCUUCGAAAGGGGGAUUAAUACCGGAUACGUUAAUCUUUCACAAGUGAGAUUAAGAAAGGUGGCCUCUAUUUAUAAGCUAUCGCAUUUGGAGGGGUCUGCGUACCAUUAGUUUGUUGGUGGGGUAAUGGCCUACCAAGACUUCGAUGGUUAGCGGGUCUGAGAGGAUGAUCCGUCACACUGGCACUGAAACACGGGCCAGACUCCUACGGGAGGCAGCAGUGAGGAAUAUUGCGCAAUGGGGGAAACCCUGACGCAGCGACGCCGCGUGGGUGAGGAAGGCUUUCGGGUCGUAAAGCCCUGUCAGAAGGGAAGAAAUGUGUAUAGGUUAAUAUCUUAUACAUUUGACGGUACCUUCAAAGGAAGCACCCGGCUAACUCUCGUGCCAGCAGCCCGCGGUAAUACGGAGGGUGCAAACGUUGUUCGGAAUCACUGGGCGUAAAGGGGCGCGCAAGCGGUUUGAUUAGUCAGAUGUGAAAGCCCCACGGCUUAACCGUGGAAGUGCAUUUGAAACUGUCAGACUUGAGUACCAGAGGGGGGUAGUGGAAUUCCCGGUGUAGAGGUGAAAUUCGUAGAUAUCGGGAGGAAAUACCGGUGGCGAAAGCGACUACCUGGCUGGAUACUGACGCUGAGGCGCGAAAGCGUGGGGAGCAAACNNAUUAGAUACCCUGGUAGUCCACGCCGUA